UAGAGCGUUCUGGGGGCAGAGCAGUAGACUUACGUUAUCGUACACUGAAACUGCCAAUUCUGUCCAUGACCUUAAGCAAGACACCCCAUGACUCUCUGAGUGGCAGAACUAGACAUAAUGGUAGACACUGAGAAGAACUAAAUGAUCCCUUUAGGACAAACUCUGGUUUUCAAACUGAUUCCAGGAGCCCCAGAACCUCCCUUGAAGGGACAGGAAGCCCAUCUACACACUGGGGAGCUGGUUUAGCAGAGGUCACCCUUCCUCCUCCCCUAUUCAAUCGGAGCUCUCCUGUUUUUAUAUUUGGCUUUUAUGUAAGAUCUCUUCCAAAGAAAGGAGGUGACAGCAUCAGUGAGCAGUUAGGAGCACAAACCAGCCCUGUUAGUAACUAAUUGUGUGACUUGGGAAAAAUCCCUCUACUUCUCGGAGCCUUAGAUUGUUCAUCUGUAAAAUGGGAACUUCACAGGAUUAUCGUGAAGCUUUAAGGAUAGGGCAUCAAAAAAGAUUUUGACCCACAGCGCAUGGCAAGAAACCAAUAAAUAUUGGUUGUGAUUGCAGUUGCUCUUGUUUUAAAGGGUUUUUGUGGCUGUCAAGUUUGGAAACCAAUAUUUCAAUCCCUCGAACAUGGCGUCAUUUAUAAGGACAUUCCCAGUCUGAUGGGGGACAACAUGGUCUUUUCCCCAAAAAAAGACUGGUCUGAUAGCUAAGACUUGACUCCAUUCCAGAGAAUUAUUCCUCAGUCAGAUGGAUAUAAAGUCACAACUGGUGCCCAGUCACCCAUUUCUCAGUCCUCCCUGCACCCCACUCCUCCCCUAGACACUCCCCCAUUCUUAACAGGCAGCCCGUCCCAGCUUGCUUACAGAGAGGCAGAGUCCACAAGUACCCUCCUUCUUCUCCAGCAUGAAGACCUGCACACGGUGAUCCUCCUCUAUCUUGCUGACACUGGGACAUCCUGAGAAGGUGCCUUCCCUAAGGAUCCAGCGGUAGCCUGGGCCUUGGGGAUUUUGAAGGGCUUACACUGCUUGAAUCAAGGCUCCUGUCUUGUAAAGGUCGAAUCUGAAGAGACAACACUGGGGUGCUUGGCUGGCUCAGUCGGUGGAACAUGUGACUUGAUCUCGGAGUU